CAACACUUUGAACCUAAAGGCUUUUCGUCGCGCGUGUACGUGUCACAGAAAGAGUAAGAUGACGUAAGUGUUUUUUUUUAGGUUACUUCUCGGCUAAUUGUCAAUGCUUAGUUGUUUGUGACUGGACCAAUGUGGAGGGGAGACUGUCUAGAAGAGGAAAGGAGGUACUUUUGAAGAUGGAAUGGAAAUACCUGUGGAUACAGUUUCCUUGAUCAACUAUCCUGAGCGAUGACAGCAAUGCUUCAGGAUGCAAGGAAAUGCAAACCCUGACUGCCACCAGAGGGAUCAGUCAAGCAGCCCUUCAGGAGUUCUACUGUCUGUUCCUGUGGGAAAGGACUACAGAAUUCCUGACCAACAAAACAGCAUUACCGGUGCUGUUCUCAUUAACGACUUAAAGACGUUUGUCUUUCAGACGAAUACUUUGUAUGUAAUUACUGUCGAUGUAGUAAAGCUGAAAAAUACUUCACACUCCUACACAUAUUUUCUAUGUACCUUUUAGUACAUCAGAGCAGCUAAAGACAUCUGUUUGCAAAUAAACACAAUUAGGUUUUUCAAAUCAUAAUCCACCAGCUGCAUGUUAUAAAAAUGGAUGUUAAGAUUCACCCUUCAGCUUCGAUGUUAAGCAGAUGUCAAAAAUUUCACACCUUAUCAAACAUAUGUAUAACAUAUGGUACACUACUGUAGUCUGCCUUGCCCCAAUCAAGUUGACAGCACUUGAAAAAGCAGACCACAGAGCACUUAUGCUCCACUGUAACUUAAAUAUGUCAUUUGUGGUAUUCAGUGCUGCAAUAAAGUACAUGAAAGGUUAAAAAAAAAUCAUUACUUCAGCCAAACAAGACAUGCUAAAACUGGUUUUCUUUCUCAGCUAAAAAGAUUUCUUCACACUUAAUUUUUUUUUUGGCUCUAGUCAAUUGUUGUAUAGCCUGCCAGGAAUCAAGAAUCUGACAACUGAAGUAACUGAAUGAUGGUAGCCAUUGAUAAAGUAAAAACUUUUAGACGCUUCACAUUUUUUCAUGCUUUGUGUGUCUGUGUUAGUAAAAAAAUUAUUCAGUUUUUAGAGCAGUAACAGCUUUCCAACGCUGUUCUGUGGUAGCUGCCAUGUGUGUUCUAAUACAAGAUUAAAGCAAAACAGUUCUGAAACA